GAGACGAGUGCUUCCUAGACUCCAGAUGCCCUUCGCCCCGUGACCCCAAUGGAAGGUCAACAAUCACCCUCUUCCAUCCGCCCGCCGUUUCCUUCGCCCUUCCAGACGACCCUCGGUCCAUCAGCCCCUAGUUCUCCCGGGGUUGGUGGCGAGGGAGAGAAUCUCUUUGUGGCCCGCCCCAAGGGUCCUUCCAGCAGCUCUUCUCCAGAUCCUUUUUCCUUCCUCCUUUCUCACCCUUAUCUUGAGAAAUUGAGGGGGGCUCCCAGCCAGAACCCGCAAGACGUCGCCC
rnacentral:lncRNA from 1 species